GAAAAAUUAAUUUUUCUCAUGAUGGUCAGAGAUGGCGAGAGUCCUUGGGGUUGGUUAUGUUAUGGCGUGAUGGUGAUGGAACUGACACUUAAGGGAGACAAAUAGCGAUGAUGCUGAUGGAUCACACACACGUUUCAGCUCAAAACUUUGUUCACUUCCAAACUGCACUUUGAAGCAAACCCAAUUUUCGCAGUCAAUGCCGACAAACGACUUCUUAAUCCUUUGUUUGGCAGCAUGGGACACCAAUGGAUGUGCUUCAUGAGAGGAAAUUAGUUUAAUAAUGAAUUGAUCAUUCUCAUUGAUUUUUACUGAUGUGAAUACAAGAGUUAUGCAAGAAUAAAGGUGCAAAUGGGAAAAAGCAGUGCUGCUGUAACUCCAUGGGACCACAUGGCUGUGAAAAAAUAAACACCACGUGCAGAACUAGCUGUGAAUAACACGCGUAUUACCUCCUCUCAAGCGGAUAGUUUGGUGAAGAUCAACCAUGCUGAAAGGAGCAGGUAACAGAGCCUUAGUGAAAAGAUCAGCUGCUUGAUCUUUAGAAGAAAAUAUGAGGCAACUGCAUGAGGCCGGAAUAGCACCUCUCCUGCUCAAUGUGACAGCUAGUUGUGAAUAACACCCGUAUUCAGAUUCAGCAUUACUAGUGAAGUUACUUAAUUUUUUGUGUAAAUUAUAGUAGUUGUGAGAUUGGUAAAUCUUAGAAAAAAAUUUACAGCUUAAUAGAAUUGUAUGGUAGCUUGGUUGGUUAUGCAAUUAGGGCAUGUUAAGCUACCUCUUAUUUUUGAGAAGUAAUCGUUUUUUUAUCAGUAGCCAUCUCAAAAAAGUGACAAAAACUGAUUGUUUAUCCAAAGUGAACUAAUAAAGCUAAUAAGAGUAAGCUGAAUGAUGUAGUUACAAGCUGUAUAUUCUUACCAUUUCAUGCAUGGUUAAAGAAGAAUUACUUAAAUUUCAAUUUGAUAACUUACCAUGAUAAUGUGCAUUUCCUAGCUUGCUAUGUUGACUAUUUAGCACUGCAUUGGACAGCUUAAUGUUGAGUUUGGUAACAAAAGUAAACUAUUGUGACUGUUUCUUAUCUCUCUGUCUUUCUUCUUCCUUUUCAGGUGUAAAGAUAACAUUAACUCAUGCUGCAUUAUUUAUUUUUAUGUUUUGUAUAUGUUAUAUAUCCUCUUUAUGCUAGUUCUUCUACUCUUUUCUCAAUCAAAAUAUGUUGUUGUAUUAUUUAAGAAAUUAAUCUCCUUAGCCACUACACAAAAUUGAUGGCCUUCCUUGUAUUGGCAGAAAUUUAAAUUUACCUUUUACCUCUUCUCAGGAUAGUUUACUAGAUUUAAUUUUGAGAUGAAAACGGGAAAUAAAAAAAAAAGUUUCGUGAAUGAUGAUGAAUUUGAUACAUAGUAUUUUACUAUAAUUAAAUUUUUCUAAAAAAGGAAGGAUAAUUCAAUGAAAUUAGAUAGGUUAUCUUCACUAUUCUAAUCUAUCAGUUGACAUAUCGUAGCAAGUGAAGUUCUUAAUCCCUCAUUACCUAGGCACAAUGAUCCAGGAAAUUGGAAAGAAAGCUAUUAAUUUAGAAACAAAAUUUGUAUUCUUUGAUUUUGGUGUUAUUUAUGAGUGAUGCUACCUAUUCACAACUUUGUACAAUGAAAGCCUGAAAUGCAUUUCUGAUUUCGAGUGGAGAAAUGUCAAAGAUAUUAAGCCUUCUACCAAAAAGCCGGUAGAGAUGUGGUAAGGAUCUUUGCAGUAGUGAUGAUGGUCUUUACAAAGUGUGUUGAGUGAUGGUGGUAGGGUAGUGAUGAUAAAGAUGGGAAUGGUACAGAUUUUGGUGGUGAUCAAUGGCUGAACAUAAUAAGGACAGGCAACAGCUAUGUAUCUUGGCCUUGCUUAACUGCAAAGAGAGUUAGUGCAUCAAUAGUACAAGUUAUAAUCGAGUUUAAUAUGGUCUAACAUCCAUUUCAUUUUGUCUAUCAAAUCAAAACAUUGAAAUAACUUAUUUUUUUAAGAUUUAAUAUGUUCUUCAUUUUCAGAAAACCGGUGAGGUCGUGAGGAUAUAAAUUCACUUGUAUUGUUACUUUAUAUCUUCUUAUUAUAGUCUCUAUCUCUAGUUCUAUGUUUCUUGUACUUAUUGUUUAAUUAUUUGAUUCUUGAUAUUCUUAAUUUUGUUCAGAACAAUAUAUCCUUAAUAAUUGUCUAAUAAUGUUUGGAAUCCAAUAAAUAUAAACAAGUAAGAAAUGAAUCUUAUGCAUUAAUAUUUUUGUCCUUUGAAAUUGUUGACCAGUUUUCUAACUAGUGAAGAGUAUAACAAAGAUUGGUGUUUUGGCAUUGAUGCGCUGAUGCUGGUUGCAGUAAGAGCAUUCACUUUACUCCCUCUUGGUUGGAAAUUAACCUAGCUCAGUAAGAGUACCAAAGUAGGUGAAACAUUACCUCGUUAAGAUCUGUAUUAAACAGUAAGUUUUCAUAUCUUACCCUCCUCCCCUUCCUGUUUAUUGGAUUCCCAUCUCCUUCUUUUGGGGAUUUUGGUAGAAAUCACUCAAUGGAAUAAAUCCUCCUAUCUAAAUGUACUUCAUUCUUAUAAACAGGCAAUCAGAAAAUAUACUGCUUUAUUUUUAUUUCUA